rnacentral:rRNA from 6 species
UUGACCUCGGAUUAGGUAGGAAUACCCGCUGAACUUAAGCAUAUCAAUAAGCGGA